rnacentral:rRNA from 1 species
GGAGGGUCCGAGCGUUAUCCGGAAUCAUUGGGUUUAAAGGGUCCGUAGGCGGGCCGUUAAGUCAGGGGUGAAAGUCUGCGGCUCAACCGUAGAAUUGCCUUUGAUACUGGCGGUCUUGAGUCGUUGUGGAGUUGCCGGAACAUGUGGUGUAGCGGUGAAAUGCAUAGAUAUCACAUAGAACACCGAUCGCGAAGGCAGGUAACUAACAACGUACUGACGCUGAUGGACGAAAGCGUGGGUAGCGAACGGGAUUAGAUACCCCGGUAGUCCACGCCGUAAACGAUGGAUACUAGCUGUCGGGACUUCGGUCUCGGCGGCCAAGCGAAAGUGAUAAGUAUCCCACCUGGGGAGUACGUUCGCAAGAAUGAAACUCAAAGGAAUUGACGGGGGCCCGCACAAGCGGUGGAGCAUGUGGUUUAAUUCGAUGAUACGCGAGGAACCUUACCAGGGCUUAAAUGUACAUUGCAUAGCGUAGAGAUAUGCUUUUCUUCGGACUAUGUACAAGGUGCUGCAUGGUU